rnacentral:tRNA from 1 species
GGGCGGUUGGCGCAGUGGUAGCGCACUUCCCUGACACGGAAGGGGUCACAAGUUCGAAUCUUGUAUCGCCCACG